AUUUUACAAUAUAUAGUAUAUACAUUGUUUUAUUAUCACAUUUACCUUAUAUUUGUAUUUUAUUGUUUAUUCAUAUAUUUAUUAAUAUUUAGAUUUUUACUACAUAAUAUUUUGUUGUAUUAUGGUUUAUGUUAUCUCCACUUUGCUCAUUUCUCUGUUAGGCUCUAAUGGGUUGACUCUUUUAUUCACAUGUGUAUCCUCUUUCCAAUUUUGGUUUUCCAGUAGCGGCCUUGAUUUAGAGUGUUUUCUGAAUUGUCAGUCCCUAGUUUGGAUCCUGUUACUCCUAGGAUGAGAAAGCAUUGACCAUAGAACUCAUAUAAUUCUGUUUUUGAAGAGCACCUUUCUUUCUUUUGGUGUAUCCUUUUCUUCUGCCUCCUCAUGACCCCUUGGCUCUUUCCAUUCCCCACUGUAUACAGGGUCCUGUGAAGAGCCUGUGGAAGUAUCAGGGUCAGAGAGAUUGGGAAUCCUUUGACACAGGAAGCUGAAUCCAGUACUUCACUACCAUGCAACAAAGCAACCGUUGCUAGCUUCUGGGAAAUGAGUCAGGAACUCUCAUAUUGGGUGGAGAAUUAACUGCCCUUCUUUGAAAUAGACUCCAUGGCUCGCAACCCCUUGCAAGCACCACGUCAGGAGGAUUUGGUGUGGGCACCUCCUUAGACAACUGCAUUUAUAUCCGCACAUAUCCUCCCCCAACAUAAUUAUGAUUAAUAUAUAAGUGAUAGUAAUGAUAAACUCUUCUUUUUCAUUUUUAUUAUUUUAGUUCUUUGUAAUUUAUUUUUUAAAUUCCCAUUUCAUCCGAACCAUAGCGGCCCUCCCUCCUCUCUUCCCAGUCCCAGCCUUACAAAUCCCCUCCUACUACUACCUCCUACCCUUCAACUCAGAGAAGAAGUAUCCCUGGAGUGCCACCAUACCCUGGGACAUCUGAACAUGGGCUUUAAUAUCCUUAUCCUAGCUUCCUGGAAGCCAGUCUCUUCCUAGCAGCCUUCAGAUGAAGAUGAACUCUCAGCUCUGCCUGCACCAUGCCUGACUAGAUGCUGCCAUGCUCCUGCCUUGAUAAUAAUGAACUAAAGCUCUGAAUGUGUAAGCCAGCCCCAAUUAAAGGUUGUCUUUGUAAGGGUUGCCUUGGUCGUGGUGUCUGUUCACAGCAGUAAAACCCUAACUAAGACACCUGGUCAUCACCCAUCUUCAUCCCCUCUCCCACCUUGUUUCCUCUCUCCAUCUACCUCUGAUGACUCUUUUGUUUCCCCUUCUGAGUGAGAGUCUCAUAUCCUCACUUGGGGCCUCCUUAUUACCCCAUGUCUUUGGGUCUAUUGAUUGUAGUGUGGUUGUCCUGCACUUUAUAGCUAAUGUCCAAUUAUAAGUGAGUACAUAUCUUAGCAAAUAUCUUUCUGAGUCUGAAUAACCUCGAUCAGGAUGAUAUUCCCAAGUUCUACUAAUUUGCCUGCAAAUUUCAUGAAGUCUUUGUUUUUAAUAGCUAAAUUGUAUUCCACUGUGUAGAUGUAGCACAUUUUCUUUAUCCAUUCUUCAGUUGAAGGAUAUCUAGGUUGUUUCCAGUUUCUGGAUAUUAUGAAUAAGGCUGCUUUGAAUGUGGAGCAGGUGUCCCUCUGGUAAUGAGAGGAUCCUUUUGGGUAUAUGUCCAGGAAUGGUAUAGCUGGAUCAUGAGGUAGAACUAUUCCCAAUAUUCUGAGAAACUGGCAGAUUGAUUUUUUUUUCGUCAGUUUAGGUAUCAUCCAUUUAUUAUAAAAGGGAGGCAUGGAAAUUAUUUACAUGAUGAAAUAAUUCACGACAUCUGUGGAAUGGGCAGUUUCACAUGACAUCAUUUCAUCAGCAAUUUCAGUCCGCAUACUUUCCAAAAAUGUCACUAUCUCUAAAUAAGAAGAACUAAUCCUUGUCGUCUAGAACUACUUCGUUGCCUCCAUAUUCUGGGAGAAGAACUUUAUCUCCAACUUUCACACUGACAGGCUCAAUCUCUCCACUCUUUCCUUUCCUGCCUGACCCCACAGCCACGACCGUUCCUUGCAAUACUUUUCCUUGAGACUUUUCUGGAAGCAUAAUGCCACCUUUGGCUACAAUUUCGGCGGCAUUCCUUUCAACCAAUACUCUGUCAGCAAUCAGAAGAAACUUCCUAAAUGCUUGUCCUGUCAUGACUUGCACUGAAAGUGGUUGUGUAAGUUCACCAGCAAUGGAGGACUGUUUCCCUUGCCCCACAUCCACUCCAGCACGUGCUGUCACUUGGGUUUUUGAUCUUAGCCAUUCUGAUGGGUGUAAGGUGGAAUCUCAGAGUUGUCUGGAUUUAAGUGAAGGACAGGUAAAAUAUUUUGAAUUAAAAACAUCAAAAAAGAGGGAUAAUAUUAUGGGUAGGGAGGUGGGGCAGAUCAGGGGGGAGUUGGGCAGUUAUGACUAAUCAAUAAACAUAAGAAAAGAGUUAAUAAAAAUCAUUAAAAUAUUUGGAAUGUUAAAAAUAAUUUGAACUUGUCCCAUCAAUUCAAUUCCUCAACACUUAAAUUCAGUUGUUAUAACUCACUAAUUAAUAAUCU
rnacentral:lncRNA from 1 species